UUGAAUUUUCAACAAAUCAAGACCUGCUCAAAUGAACAGAUGUACAACCUAUGAAUAAAAAACAUAGAAUAGAAAGCUACACUGUUCCUUCAUUUUAUUUCCGAAAUGGUAGAAAUUCAAAAAUAAGAACCAAGCCAAAUUUAUCAAAUCUAACAUCUUCUUUUUUCUAAGCACAAAUAAUAUAAAUGCAGUGAACAAAACCAUGAUCCAAAACAACAAUUAGCAAUUCAUCUUCACAGCUAAAUUCCAAAAUCGUAAGCAAUCAAGAUUCAC
rnacentral:lncRNA from 1 species